GACGAACGCUGGCGGCGUGCUUAACACAUGCAAGUCGAACGGAAAGGCCCUGCUUUUGUGGGGUGCUCGAGUGGCGAACGGGUGAGUAACACGUGAGUAACCUGCCCUUGACUUUGGGAUAACUUCAGGAAACUGGGGCUAAUACCGGAUAGGAUCUCCUGCUGCAUGGUGGGGGUUGGAAAGUUUCGGCGUUUGGGUUUGGACUCGAGGCUUAUCAGCUUGUUGGUGUGGUAGUGACUUACAAAGGCUUUGACGGGUAGCCGGCCUGAGAGGGUGACCGGCCACAUUGGGCCAGGGGAAGGGCCAGGAGUCCAACGUGAGGCAGGGGUGGGGACUAGUGCACACUGGGCGGAGGCCUGAUGCAGGAUCGCCGCGUGCGGGAUGACGGCUUUCGGGUUGUAAAACGCUUUCGCGUGUGACGAAGCGUGAGUAACGGUAAUGGGUAAAGAGGCACCGGCUACUUACGU
rnacentral:rRNA from 1 species